rnacentral:tRNA from 1 species
GGACGGUUAGCUCAAUGGCAGAGCGCUUCGUUUACACCGAAGAGGCCGCUGGCUCAAUCCCAGCACCGUCCA